CACAAGAUGUCCUGCCAUUUAGCUGCUCACUGUUCCUGAAAACAAGGUACCUUCUACACAUCAAAGUUCUGAACCAGCACCAACCCCGCUGACACCCGGAUAUUCUCCCAACA